GACGGAGGGUGCUAGCGUUGUUCGGAAUCACUGGGCGUAAAGGGCGCGUAGGCGGCCUCAGGUGUCGGAUGUGAAAGCCCGGGGCUCAACCCCGGAGGUGCAUCCGAAACUCUGGGGCUGGAGGUCGGAAGAGGAGGGUGGAAUACCCAGUGUAGAGGUGAAAUUCGUAGAUAUUGGGUGGAACACCGGUGGCGAAAGCGGCUCUCUGGUCCGGAACUGACGCUGAGGCGCGAAAGCGUGGGGAGCAAACAGG
rnacentral:rRNA from 1 species